rnacentral:lncRNA from 1 species
UUUAUGAUUCUUUCUCUUUUUUUCUUUUUUUUCUUUUUUUUAAUUUUUUUUUCUCUUUCCUCCACACCCACACUUACCUCUCCUCCUAAUAAUUUAAAGGAUCUGAGACUUGUAAGAGCAAUAGCAUUCUAUGACUCAGAGGAAAUCGUGUGUGCAGUCCUGGACAAAGGCAGUGGAAGAGGGGUUAAAGUCGGUGCCCAGCCACAUCAGAACUUCAGCCAGAUGAAUUCACUGCUUGGGAGCAACUAGAGAGCGGUGCGGGUGGCCCUGCAGGCGUCCUUUUCACUAGGACCUUGAGCUGAACUUUUUUCAGGUCUUUCUCUGAGGCAAAAGCUUGUCAGGGAAUGUCUCCUUUCUGCCCUGCCACCCUCAAGUCCUAGACCACCCUGGGUGUAAAGCUGGCCUUACAAAGCUUCCCCUGAGACCAGCGUGGGCAUCGCACAGUGAAUACGUCUGAAUACAUAGUGAAUAUCACCAUGUGAUAAUCCAGUCCCUGCACACUGUGCUGAAAUUUAGGGAACUUGGUGUCACUUUGGUGCCUGCCACCAGUCUGUUGGGAGACCCUGGGUCAUGCAUCAUGCAGUACCUCAGUUUCCCUGUCUUUAAAAUGUUGGUAAUCAUCACUACUUCAUUUGUGAUGAACUUUGGAGAUGUAUGAAAAAUGCACGGUGAGAAACUGGUGCUUUUAUCAGGUGUGGUAAUCUGUAGGUGAGCUGGUACCACACAGCCCAAAAACACCCUGUAACAAGGUGACUGGCCUUGCUGGGACUAUGGCCACAAGGCUGGGUCAAUAGCAGCGCCACAGUCACUGCACAUGUGACAUCAAGAUCUGCACUUUUCUGCUGUGCCUGUGGACCUCGCUUGGCAAGCUGGGCAACUGUUGGAGUAGGUUCAAUUUUGAUUGCCCAGAGGUGGCAGCCCUUGUGGGUGAAGAAAAUUCAUCUUUGCAGUGAAGCUGAGCCACAAGACCUCCAAGAAAAGUGAUUUCUGCAGUUUUUCUGAUGAGAGCUACUUGAUUAAAGUGUGACAAACUGAUUGCUUAUGUUCAUGAGCCUGAGCUGUGCUUUGUUCUGCAGCUGCAGGUGAGGCUGACACUAUGAAAUGAAACUAUCACCUUUUUUAAGUUUAAGCUCAGGUAACCAGCAGUGGCAAUUGCACUGUCUGUUAUUUGUCCCCAUCCUCUCCAUAAUGUUUAACCUACCUGUCA